rnacentral:tRNA from 1 species
ACCUGGCUGGCUCAAUCGGUGGAGCAUGUGAUUCUUGAUCUUGGGGUUGUAGGUUCGAGCCCUGUGUUAGGGG